UCCGGCGCGGUGUAGUUGGCUUAGCAUGCUCUCGGUUCUGAAUCUGUCGAUCCGUCCCGCCAGCGACCCAGGUUCGAUCCCAGGCGUCGGAC
rnacentral:tRNA from 1 species